CAGCAGCCACGGGAAUACAGAGGGUGCGAGCGUUAAUCGGAUUUACUGGGCGUAAAGCGUGCGUAGGCGGCUUUUUAAGUCGGAUGUGAAAUCCCUGAGCUUAACUUAGGAAUUGCAUUCGAUACUGGGAAGCUAGAGUAUGGGAGAGGAUGGUAGAAUUCCAGGUGUAGCGGUGAAAUGCGUAGAGAUCUGGAGGAAUACCGAUGGCGAAGGCAGCCAUCUGGCCUAAUACUGACGCUGAGGUACGAAAGCAUGGGGAGCAAACAGGAUUAGAUACCCCAGUAGUCCCUGUCUCUUAUAA
rnacentral:rRNA from 1 species